GAGAAAGAAACACCCUGGAGAUGCCAUGAGAGAACCCACAGAUGCUCAGAGAGAAAGCCAACUGGAACCAGAAGCUGAAAGGAACAGAACCCAGGAGCAAAAGACUAGCAGAUGCUGGCUGUGUGCCUUGCUAUUUGACAGAGGAAUCCUGGAUGCCAGCAGCCUUUCUUCAGAGAAGAAAUCCAAGAGUCUCCACUGGCUAUGCUCAAAAAUAUAAAACACUCUUUGGCUGACAAGUUAUAGAAGAAGAAUAAAAAGAAGAAUCCUAGUGGAACAAUCAAAGCAACAUGGUACAACAUUUCAGAAGGAAACUUACUUAUGUUUAAACAGUUAAUGUGUCUCCUGCAAACCAUUUGCCAUACUUUAAACCAUUUGCAAUAACAAAAGCUAAAGUUUCCCUAAACAUAAUCUUUCAUGAUUUAUCUUUCAUCUUAGAAAUAUUUGCAGCAUUGUCUAGAAAUUUUCCUUUCCUUGUAAUGAUGUCAAUGCACCAUAAAAUGUGAUUAUAAGAAAAGCACAUAUUAGCGUGUUGUGUAUAUGAAUUUGGGAAUGGAAAGGUUUUUUUUCCUAUUCAUUUGCUCCCUUUUCAGAAAAAGUAACAAUAACAACAACAGUAGCAACAAUAACAAAACAGUCGUUUAUGGUUAGGCCAGAGCUUUUAAAAGAAUUGUUAAUUCCAGAAAGGUGAAACCCCUGUGUCCUGAUUUCUUAGUUGCCUUGAAAAUCAUGUUCUAAAACUGUAACCACUAACUUGACUGGAUAAACAGCAGUGUGCUAGUGUGUGUAGAAAGAGUGUACUGCUCCCUCAGAUUUCACUGUUUUCAUCCUUUUUUCCAUCUUAGACUUAUUCUUUAAGACCAAAACCUGUAAUUUCCUUUAGAAAUACUCUAGAAAAUCUAUAUUGUGUAGAACGAUCAUGUGUUUAUAAAAAUUUUACAAGUUUAGAUUAUAAAAUAAGAGAGAAAAUCAUGUGUUUUGGGGCAUAUUUUGCAUGUUUUUUGUUUUCCUUCACAGAAACUGAUUCUUUCAACUCUAUCACCAGGUAGUUGUUAGUGUUUUAAAUUGGAAUAUUAAAUGUGAAAUUAAAGAAGCUGUUAAUGA